rnacentral:rRNA from 1 species
AUUGAACGCUGGCGGCAUGCCUUACACAUGCAAGUCGAACGGCAGCACGGGGGCAACCCUGGUGGCGAGUGGCGAACGGGUGAGUAACACAUCGGAACGUGUCCUGUUGUGGGGGAUAACCCACCGAAAGGUGAGCUAAUACCGCAUGAUCUGGAGACAGCAAAGCAGGGGACCCGCAAGGGCCUUGCGCGAUUGGAGCGGCCGAUGUCCGAUUAGCUAGUUGGCGGGGUAAAGGCCCACCAAGGCGACGAUCGGUAGCUGGUCUGAGAGGAUGAUCAGCCACACUGGGACUGAGACACGGCCCAGACUCCUACGGGAGGCAGCAGUGGGGAAUUUUGGACAAUGGGGGCAACCCUGAUCCAGCCAUGCCGCGUGAGUGAAGAAGGCCUUCGGGUUGUAAAGCUCUUUCGGUGGGAACGAAACGGUUACGACGAAUACUCGUGACUACUGACGGUACUCACAGAAGAAGCACCGGCUAACUACGUGCCAGCAGCCGCGGUAAGAC